AGCUUCUCACAGCUCUGCUUUCUCCCCGCGGGCUCCUUCUGAUUCUCACCACUCCACUAUGGCGAGCCGGGCAACCCCCGAUGGAGAAGUAGAAACCAGGGUUGCUGGUUCCGACACAACACGACCAGUGUUUUCUAAAAACAGAUCUGAGUGCAACUGAGUCAAGAAGUUUUGCAAGAAAGGAGACAGAUUUCCUUCCAGAAGAUCAUUAUACCAAGCAACACACAGCACAGCGCUACCUGGGGAUCUAUCUCAUCUCCCAGCUUCAUAGGUGAAAAAAUGCUGCCUUUCCCUUACUUCAUUUUUCUCCUGACUAUUGCAUUUCGUAUCUUUCA
rnacentral:lncRNA from 1 species